GUGAGUCUCCUCACUGACAAUGGUAAUACUAAGGAUGACCUGAGGCUCCCAACAGAUGAGAAUCUUCUCUCACUGAUCAAGGAUGGAUUCGCGGAGGGCAAAGACCUUGUUGUGUCUGUCAUGUCUGCCAUGGGAGAGGAACAGAUUAAUGCACUGAAGGAUAUUGGUCCUAAGUAAACGGAGAGAAGGGACAUGACGGUACCAGCUUGUUCAAGAACAUCUACUUCUACUUCGUGUUCUUGAGUUAGAUUGUUGUUCUAAUAUUUGUUGGAAUUUAUCUGAUUACUUUGAACGUUUUCAAAUCUCCUUGUUCGAUGAGUUUAGUGGGUCAUUUGCUAGAGUAUAUUAGAAGUAAUAAUUCAUUAACUUUCUGUAUUAAUAGUAUUCUGUUUGAUACAUCUUUGCUGUAGUUAUACGCUCUAAAAUAAAAAUUGUGCAGUGUGCUAUUUUUCAUACAUCAAAUGAAAUAAUU
rnacentral:misc_RNA from 1 species